rnacentral:rRNA from 1 species
UACGUAGGGUGCGAGCGUUGUUCGGAAUUAUUGGGCGUAAAGAGCUCGUAGGCGGUUUGUUGCGUCGGCCGUGAAAACUCAGGGCUUAACUCUGAGCCUGCGGUCGAUACGGGCAGACUUGAGUUCGGUAGGGGAGACUGGAAUUCCUGGUGUAGCGGUGAAAUGCGCAGAUAUCAGGAGGAACACCGGUGGCGAAGGCAGGUCUCUGGGCCGAUACUGACGCUGAGGAGCGAAAGCGUGGGGAGCGAACAGG